GGUCAGAUGGCCGAGUUGGUCUAAGGCGUGAGACUAAGGUUUUCAUAAAAUGUUAACAUAAUCUCAUCUCUUCGGGGGCGUGAGUUCGAAUCUCACUCUGAUCA